AGUGAACGCUGGCGGUAGGCCUAACACAUGCAAGUCGAACGGCAGCACAGUAAGAGCUUGCUCUUACGGGUGGCGAGUGGCGGACGGGUGCGGAAUACAUCGGAAUCUACUUUUUCGUGGGGGAUAACGUAGGGAAACUUACGCUAAUACCGCAUACGACCUACGGGUGAAAGCAGGGGAUCUUCGGACCUUGCGCGAGUGAAUGAGCCGAUGUCGGAUUAGCUAGUUGGCGGGGUAAAGGCCCAACAAGGCGACGAUCCGUAGCUGGUCUGAGAGGAUGAUCCGCCACACUGGAACUGAGACACGGUCCAGACUCCGACGGGAGGCAGCAGUGGGGAAUAUUGGACAAUGGGCGCAAGCCUGAUCCAGCCAUACCGCGUGGGUGAAGAAGGCCUUCGGGUUGUAAAGCCCUUUUGUUGGGAAAGAAAAGCAGCAGGUUAAUACCCCGCUGUUCUGACGGUACCCAAAGAAUAAGCACCGGCUAACUUCGUG
rnacentral:rRNA from 1 species